CAACGUUUUGCUUGUGGGAAUGGAGGGUGUUGCACCAGGUUCUGUCAGCAUUGAUGUUCUACAUGUGAAAGUUGAAUAUCCACUUCACUUUUAUAAUCAAGUUUUGGAUUCCAGAGAGCUCACUAGGUCAGUAUCAUUUCUAUUUCACUCGAGAACAUUACACUUGUGACUAUCAGGUGAUGGCUUGGGGGGAAAGGUCAUGCUUGGAUACGCAGGGAGUGGCAAGCUUAUUGCCUUUUGCAAAACAAAAAACAGUUUUUAGGAGUGGCAAGCUUAUUGCCUUUUGCACACAAAAAACAGUUUUCAGUGAAUGAAGGAUUGUUCCUAACCAUCCUUGCACUGAACUUUCUCAACCUGCCUAUUCUCGGUUGGCAUUAGAGAAGGAAUAGGGUUCC